CCACAUCCAUGUCAGCAGCCAUCUCCCUCUCCAUGUCACGGUUGUGCUUUUAAUAAAUAAACACAAAAAUCUUAAACAAGUUAGCAAAACCCACGCAACACCCGACUCUGAAAUUUGGGGAAACCAGGUUAGGGCAAAAGAAGAGAAAGUCACAGAGUCCUUAGCUUCUUUAUCUUCUCUCUCUUUUCUCUCUGUUGUGUGAAUUUCUCAAUGAAAAAUCGAAAGCUUGUAAGCUGUAAUCGAUUCACGCGUGUCGCCGUACUACUGAUCCGCAAAUUUCUUCAGAUAAAGCCUACGCAACACCCGACUUCAAGCUGAGUUACGAAGUCCAGAACCUUUUUCCUUUGCAUGUUUAAGAACUUUACUGAUGGAGAAGGACUUGAAAAUCCAGCAGGUGUUCACUACUCACCAUUGGAUGGUUCGGAUAUACAAAUUAAAACCUCCGAAGAACAGGAUCCGUGUAAAAACAAAGAAAUCAAAAUCGAAAGCAAGCUCCACAACCAGUUCAAAAAAAAAAGUGGAAGAAAAAAAGAAGAAUCCCUAGCAAUGAAAGGCACUUUCAGAAGAUGCUGUCUCCAAUCAGUUACUUGUAACCCACAUAUUUAAUAUCCAAAACACUAAUUCGUUCUCUUAAAAGUAAUUUCUACAG